GAUGAACGCUGGCGGCGUGCCUAAUACAUGCAAGUCGAGCGAUUCGGGGACGGGUGAGUAACCCGUGGAUAACCUCCUAUAAGACUGGGAUAACUUCGGGCAACCGGAGCUAAACCGGAUCCUUAUAUCUUGAUCCGCGCUGCAUUAGCGAGUUGGUAAGGUAACGGCUUACCAAGGCAACGAUGCAUAGCCGACCUGAGAGGGUGAUCGGCAACACGGGAACUGAGCCAGGGUCCAGACUCCUACGGGAGGCAGCAGUAGGGAAUCUUCCGCAAUGGGCGAAAGCCUGAAGGAGCAACGCCGCGUGAGUGAUGAAGGUCUUCGGAUCGUAAAACUCUGUUAUUAGGGAAGCGGUACCUAAUCAGAAAGCCACGGCUAACUACGUGCCAGCAGCCGCGGUAAUAC
rnacentral:rRNA from 1 species